ACAGCACAACUAAUAAAAAGGUUCAGCACGAUAAUACUAUCGGGAGAUGAACUCCAAACAGGAUACAAGGACACAUACAGAACACAACCUACAACCCUAGUGAAAAUAGGGUUUAAUCAAAGUGACAAACCUCAUCCACAUACAGAACACAACCUACAACCCUAGUGAAAAUAGGAUCGUUUAUCGAUUCAUAACCAACUCCGUUGACCGAUUCUCAACUUGUUUGCAGCACAAAUCAAGUUCUUCAACAUCGAAACCAUUUUCUUCAAAUAAGCUCAUCAAUAACUCAUUAGAAAAGUAAAAAGCGUGCUGGAAAAUAAAAAGGGAUUACAACCAAGCUUGUCAACCAAGAAAAAAGUAAAAAGUAGCUCAAUGUACGAGCGCGUGCUAGUAAAACUUUCAGUGCCAUCACCCCUGACAUAAAAGAUUUCACUUAUCUUUUGGUCCUUGCAAUUCAAUCUUUCCUGUCAAUUACCAUUACAUUAACAAAGAAGUAAACUUCAAUAUCUUGUAACCAUCUUUCAAAGGAGGAACAAAUCAAUCUAUAAUAAGGAUGAACUUCAAAAUACACACACAUAUAUAUGAACCUGAGCAAGGUCACCAGUAGCAGAGUCACGAAACAGCACACAAAGGUUUCUUCGCAACAUAAUAAAUUGAAAUGGCAGGCAUUUCAUCAUAAUUAAGCUCAUCUAAAUAUUAAAUCCAAAUAUGAACCUCAACAAAGGUUUCUUCGCAACAUAAUUUGGACUUCAAACACAAGAUGAUGGCUGCAAGGAAUAACUCUACACACCCACUUCACACUCUUUCACUGAGUCAUGAGUACACUUAUGAACACAUAAUUUUUUUCAUUUUUUUUCUUCUGUUUUAACAGAUUAAUAUUGAGAGGACAAAAUGGAUUGGAAUACAGAAGGACAAAAGCUAAUAAAUAGUGUUCUUGAUACUUACUUACUGCUUAGCAACAGCACAACUAAUAAAAAGGUUCAGCACGAUAAUACUAUCGGGAUCUCCUCAAUGACAACCCCGUUAGCGACUCCAAAACUCAGUGCAGAAACUUAAUAAUUUGUACGACAAGAUUUGUAGCCCAGGACACUAGCCAAGGUGUGUGUUCAUGUUUAAGUUUGGUAAGCUGAAUGACAACUGAUGGUUUACCAGGAAUCACUAAAGGGGGUGAACAAUAAACAAUCCCGGUAUUCUGCUUCCAACAAUUUUUCUACAUAAUCCCCCGUGUUUCAUUUCAAUCUACCAAACCAUCUACUCAGAAUAUCACCGCGAUACGAACAAGGCCAUACUAUUGACUCGCAUUUUACCAUGAAAUCAAAUCAAUAUCAAUUCACUAUCACCGACUAUAGAGAAAACGAUUAUAAAUACCCCAAAGA
rnacentral:lncRNA from 1 species